CCUACGGGAGGCAGCAGUGGGGAAUAUUGGACAAUGGGGGUAACCCUGAUCCAGCCAUGCCGCGUGUGUGAAGAAGGCCCUCGGGUUGUAAAGCACUUUCAGUGAGGAAGAACGCCUGGUGGUUAAUACCCAUCAGGAAAGACAUCACUCACAGAAGAAGCACCGGCUAACUCCGUGCCAGCAGCCGCGGUAAUACGGAGGGUGCGAGCGUUAAUCGGAAUUACUGGGCGUAAAGCGCGCGUAGGUGGCUUGAUAAGCCGGUUGUGAAAGCCCCGGGCUCAACCUGGGAACGGCAUCCGGAACUGUCAAGCUAGAGUGCAGGAGAGGAAGGUAGAAUUCCCGGUGUAGCGGUGAAAUGCGUAGAGAUCGGGAGGAAUACCAGUGGCGAAGGCGGCCUUCUGGACUGACACUGACACUGAGGUGCGAAAGCGUGGGUAGCAAACAGGAUUAGAUACCCUGGUAGUC
rnacentral:rRNA from 1 species